rnacentral:SRP_RNA from 1 species
GGUCCCUAGCAAUGAUAUUUCACAAACCCCGCCAGACCCGGAAGGGAGCAACGGUAGUGAAAAUAUUAUGUGCUAGACAAGGCUGG